UUCGGGAACUCUGACACAGGUGCUGCAUGGCUGUCGUCAGCUCGUGUCGUGAGAUGUUGGGUUAAGUCCCGCAACGAGCGCAACCCUUGUGUUUUAGUUGCAAACAGGUCAAGCUGUGCACUCUAGACAGACUGCCGUGGACAACACGGAGGAAGGUGGGGAUGACGUCAAAUCAUCAUGCCCCUUAUGAUCUGGGCUACACACGUGCUACAAUGGCCGGUACAACGGGCAGCGAAGGAGCGAUCCGGAGCGAAUCCUAAAAAGCUGGUCCCAGUUCGGAUUGCAGGCUGAAACUCGCCUACAUGAAGUUGGAGUUGCUAGUAAUCGCGAAUCAGAAUGUCGCGGUGAAUGCGUUCCCGGGUCUU
rnacentral:rRNA from 1 species